GACGAACGCUGGCGGCGUGCUUAAUACAUGCAAGUCGAACGGAAAGGCCCUGCUUUUGUGGGGUGCUCGAGUGGCGAACGGGUGAGUAACACGUGAGUAGCCUGCCCUUGACUUUGGGAUAACUUCAGGAAACUGGGGCUAAUACCGGAUAGGAGCUCCUGCUGCAUGGUGGGGGUUGGAAAGUUUCGGCGGUUGGGGAUGGACUCGCGGCUUAUCAGCUUGUUGGUGGGGUAGUGGCUUACCAAGGCUUUGACGGGUAGCCGGCCUGAGAGGGUGACCGGCCACAUUGGGACUGAGAUACGGCCCAGACUCCUACGGGAGGCAGCAGUGGGGAAUAUUGCACAAUGGGCGGAAGCCUGAUGCAGCAACGCCGCGUGCGGGAUGACGGCCUUCGGGUUGUAAACCGCUUUCGCCUGUGACGAAGCGUGAGUGACGGUAAUGGGUAAAGAAGCACCGGCUAACUACGUGCCAGCAGCCGCGGUGAUACGUAGGGUGCGAGCGUUGUCCGGAUUUAUUGGGCGUAAAGGGCUCGUAGGUGGUUGAUCGCGUCGGAAGUGUAAUCUUGGGGCUUAACCCUGAGCGUGCUUUCGAUACGGGUUGACUUGAGGAAGGUAGGGGAGAAUGGAAUUCCUGGUGGAGCGGUGGAAUGCGCAGAUAUCAGGAGGAACACCAGUGGCGAAGGCGGUUCUCUGGGCCUUUCCUGACGCUGAGGAGCGAAAGCGUGGGGAGCGAACAGGCUUAGAUACCCUGGUAGUCCACGCUGUAAACGGUGGGUACUAGGUGUGGGGUCCAUUCCACGGGUUCCGUGCCGUAGCUAACGCUUUAAGUACCCCGCCUGGGGAGUACGGCCGCAAGGCUAAAACUCAAAGGAAUUGACGGGGCCCCGCACAAGCGGCGGAGCAUGCGGAUUAGUUCGAUGCAACGCGUAGAACCUUACCUGGGUUUGACAUGGAUCGGGAGUGCUCAGAGAUGGGUGUGCCUCUUUUGGGGUCGGUUCACAGGUGGUGCAUGGCUGUCGUCAGCUCGUGUCGUGAGAUGUUGGGUUAAGUCCCGCAACGAGCGCAACCCUUGUUCACUGUUGCCAGCACGUUAUGGUGGGGACUCAGUGGAGACCGCCGGGGUCAACUCGGAGGAAGGUGGGGAUGACGUCAAGUCAUCAUGCCCCUUAUGUCCAGGGCUUCACGCAUGCUACAAUGGCUGGUACAGAGAGUGGCGAGCCUGUGAGGGUGAGCGAAUCUCGGAAAGCCGGUCUCAGUUCGGAUUGGGGUCUGCAACUCGACCUCAUGAAGUCGGAGUCGCUAGUAAUCGCAGAUCAGCAACGCUGCGGUGAAUACGUUCCCGGG
rnacentral:rRNA from 1 species